UACGCAGGGUGCAAGCGUUAAUCGGAAUUACUGGGCGUAAAGCGUGCGCAGGCGGUUAUGUAAGACAGAUGUGAAAUGCCCGGGCUUAACCUGGGAACUGCAUUUGUGACUGCAUGGCUAGAGUUUGGCAGAGGGGGGUAGAAUUCCACGUGUAGCAGUGAAAUGCGUAGAUACGUGGAGGAACACCGAUGGCGAGGGCAGCCCCCCUGGGUCAAGACUGACGCUCAUGCACGAAAGCGUGGGGAGCAAACAGG
rnacentral:rRNA from 1 species